rnacentral:lncRNA from 1 species
GCCACCGUGUCCCCUUCGCAGGAAAAAACCCCCAAACCCGGUCCCGAGGGCCCCGACCUCCCCACACUCAUCCCCUUCACCCGGAGCGCUAGGGUUCUUCGCGAGCUGCGACCCAUCCUGCCAUCCCCCGCCCCAUCCCGUCGGUCUUCCCUCCAUCCCGACCACCGGCCAACCCUCCCCCAUCAGCCCUUGUCGCGCCGCCCUCCCCAUCUCCUCCCUAACCGCCGCCGCCUCUCCAACUCAUACCAGGAGCUCGGCGGCGGCGCUCUGCCUCCCAACGUCUAGGAUCCGUCGUCGCGGCCUCACACCGUCCCAGAUCCACCGCCCCCCACCCCCCAAGCCUUGGAUCUGACGAGGCUUUCCCAUCUUCCCCGCCCUAGAGCUCGUCCCCGGCAGCUGUCCGGCCAUGAGGUCGUCGCCGCCCUCCACGUCUCCCCCGGACGCAGCUGCAAAGAGAUGCAUCUGCUAAUGCCAUUCCCUUCCCGUGACAAUUCAUUUUCUUUUCUCAAUCCAUAUGCUCUCCGAGGUUGAUUAAUAUUGUUGUAUAGAGUGAAAUAUUCAGAAUAUUGUUGAUUAAUAUUGUUGUAUAGAUUGGGUAUAGAAGAAUUUUUCAGAAUAGUUGCAUAGAUACAUUUUGUAUAUGUUAUAUGCCUUUUUUUUUAAAGGGGGAAUUGCACCGGCCUCUGCAUCAACCGAUGCACACAACCAACAUGUUAUAUGCCAAACAGAAGGAAUGCAGUGAACUAUUGUACUAUGCUAUGUGCAAUUUUUUUGUUAGACUUGUGCAGAGUAAACAAUGAGAUCGUGUUUUUAUUUCUAUCUAGCACUUUAUUUUUCUUAGAGUUCAUCUUAUCGACCAAUUAUGUGGUUAAAUAGUGAAAAUAAUGAUAUUAUGGAGUAAACAUGAAAUAAUUGUAAUCCAAGGGCAUUAUAGAGAGAAACACCUCUCGGCGUGCUGGUGGAGUUGUGGGUGCAUAGCUCUACCCACCAGGAUUCAAAUACUGGUGCUCAAGAUUAUACUUUAGGGAUUUCCCAUACAGCCUUUCCCUAAAAAAAAGGGAUUUCCCAUCCAGUCUUUCCCUAAAUAUUUUUUUAUCCAUAUUCUCCUCAGAAAUUCGCAAAUUUAGAAGCCAAAAACAAGGAUUCAGUAUUGUGGCAGCAACUUCCUCAGAAUUCAGCUGAAGUUGCAACCGAAAAGAAGGGGGCCCAUAUCCUUUGUAGUCCAAACUUUCAAGCUUGUGUCGCAAGGUAGAAAGGACCAGAUUAAACAACUUGCCGCGCCGCAGCACAAAAUGUAAUUGACGAAGGUUUAUGGAUGGCGAUAGGUAUCCGAGUCAUAUUUCACCUGAUUAAUGUGCGGGUAUGGUAAAAUUAAAAUACACGUAAGUCCGUAAUGGUAAUGGUAAUGGUUAAUCUUCAUACCCUCUAGCCAACAGGGCACGGGUUUGUUAAUAUGAAACCCAAACUGAAAACCCACGUCUCCUGACAUGUCGGCUGAAAUUGUCACUUUUUUUUAGCAGAACACCACAACUUUAUUAGCUUAAGACAUGAGUUUGGAUACAAGUGAUGUUUGGGUGUUAAGAAGCCACAUACGACGCCCCAAAACUAAGGAAGACGCUACUUUUGACGGGUUGUGAGCAUCCGAGUUGGAUUCUCUCUUUUUAUGACAAAGAAUAACUUAGUCAAAAGCAGUUUUCGGCUUGGCGAACUCACAGGCAAUGGCAUUAUAGUUGCACAAAUUCACUUCAGAGAUGUUCUUCACCGCGCCGAGACAGUCCAAUGCAACAUGGACGGCCCUCAGGUUCAGGUCACUUGCUAGGGAGAGGGCUUCACAGCAGGCGACAGCUUCGAGGGCCUUUGGCAACACAAGCCCAUGAAUUGUGACAGAAGAAGCUCCUAGAUAUACUCCUUUCUCAUCUCUACAAAUAGCUGCCACCGCUCCAGUCCUACCGGACCUUGACAAUCCAGCAUCAACAUUUAUCUUCGCCAUGCCAGGAGUAGGUGGUAUCCAACAAGCAGAAUUGAAGAGCGACCAACAGUAGUAUUAGAGCCUGGCUUCUUUCCCGGUGGUAACCGAAGAUCGUCAAGGAAACACCUAAUAAAGCCAAUGGUGGAGAGCGGACUCUGAGAUUCAUCAUCGUGAAUGGCGCGCCAUCUCGCCCACCAAAUUGCCCAGAACGUGACCAAAACCUUUGUCAAUUCAUUGCUAUUGGAGCUCUCAAAUAAAGUUGCUAGCCAGAGAUGAGCAUCAUGGGAAACACUAGCUAUAACAUGCUCAACAACAUCAUCAUCUACCAGGGCCCAAACGCACAUGGCCAUUAAUUGGGCAAUGGAUCAAGGCAUGACGCCAAUCAUCUUCUGCUGCUUUGCAAAUAGGGCACACCAUGUUAUCAGCCAUGUCUCUUCUUCCUCACCUCCCUAGUAGCAAUAGAGUUUCUCGCCAUAGCCGUUGUGGAUGAGCUUUCCACAACGCGGUGCGUUUUCUCCACCUCCGAGCUUGCUGGAACUUUAUCCAAUGAAUCUUCCCUGCGUUUCUUCGUUUCCACGAGCACGCGAUAGCAGGACCGUAUGGAGAAGCAGCCAUUAUUGUCAAAAUGCCAUGCCCAAUGAUCCUGCUGGCGCAUAGUGCCGAGAGGAAUACUCCUUAUAAGUUCAAUGUGCAUAUAAAAAAAGUAUUCGCUCAACACAUCAAGGUUCCACGAGCAAGAAUCGCUAACACUCAGGACGGACAAGAUGAUCAUGAGGCAGCCAAUUAUCAUGCCAUAUGCGAGUCUCAUGACCUGUGCCAAUUCUUCUAAUGGCCCCCUUCUAGACAGCUUGUGCAAGUGCUUUUGGCCCCAGGAAGCUGUAAGCUGUUUAGAAGGGAAAGCUUCCGGCCGGCUUAAUUCCAAAGCCCCAUGGUUCUCCGGUUGGUACCAGGAAGCACCAAAAUAGGUGCUUCCCGAGCUUCUCCGUAGUUCUCGUACCGAUUCGACUAGUUCUAUCCCGAAAUUACGAUGAAAUUGCCCCUUUGGAUUCCCGACCCCCAGCCUGUUCACUCGUCUCCACCGCGAAACACUCCCCUGCACCACGCCCCUCCCCUUCUUCCUCUAGAUCCAUGCCUCCAGCCCUCCAGGCCAAUGUGUGCCCGCCAGCAAGCAUCUUCGGUGAAGGUCCCGCCGGCCACCGCCCCGAUCCCCUCCCUCCGGCCACCACCCAUCCCGUCGCCUCUCUCCCCAAGGACCCCAAAGACUAGGUCGUCCCCAUCACGGCGUGGAGCUGCUCAUCCUCCUGCUCCGCAUGCCCCCUCCGCCUACCGUCCAGCUUGCCGCCCCACUUCCCCGAAGAUCCAGCGCGUGAAGCUCCUCCUCCUGUCCCAGAUCUGUUGACAAGAAGCCCAUCUUUGCCGCCGCCGGUGACUCCCACCUCCCUGUAGUCUGUAGAUGAGCAGAUUCUCUUUUGUCUUGAGAAAUGGAUGAACACUCUUCAGAUGGUCACUUUGUUUUUGUUUUUCAGAGAUGGGUUUGAGUAAAAGAUUUGUAUAUGUUGACUAUGAGUUUUCUGAUGUGCAGCUGUACAUGCAGCUUGUAUCAUAAAACACUUGCAUUUUGUAUUCCAAAAAGUUGUUGUUCAAGUUAAAGUGGAAUAUAUUUUGUACCAGUGUGACGGUAAAGUAAAAUAUGCUUGAAUUAUUUGUUAAACAGGCUGCAAACUAGUCCAAGGGUAUGAUUGACUUUGCACCAUUCAAAAAGAAAAUAAGCUCAAGUAUUGUAAGCUGUUUAGAACAGGAAACAAAUUUUUUCAGAGCUUCUCCACACCAAAGCUGUUGUGAGCAGCUAAGCUUGAAUCGGGUUAUGCACAAGCCAAAGCUAUCUAGAAGGGGGCCAAUAAGUCCCUUCCUAACCACAUUCUUCCCUUCAAAGAUUGCCCACCAUACUUGUGAUGGGUUAAUUUCUAGAUCUGCAUCGAGGAGGCGGCCUUCCGGAAAGUGCUUCGCUUUGAGCACCCGCGCACUCAAAGAGACAUGAUAUUGCAGAAGCGAGCAACGAAAAAAAAAGCUCAAAGUCUCUGAAGCCAAUCUUUGACAAAUCCAAAACAUUAUGGCGACGCAGGCUGGGAGGGCAACGACGAAGGCCACGUCGAUGGCACUCUGCCGCUUGAGGGAAAUUACGGCUGUUGCCACCGCCCGUUUCUGUUUGAGUCCAUGUCGAUGGCACUAUGCAGAUGGAGGGAAUUUACGGCCGUUGCCACCGCCCGUUACUGUUUGCUAUUGUACUGCCCUUGUACUGCCGCCGUUUCGCCCUUCUUUUGUUCUUAUCUCUUGCUUUCGUCUGCUUCUGGACACUGUGCGCAUUCACCUCCUCUGCUUUCCAGUUUUCCCUCUUCGUUAGAGCAUCCACAAUUUUUAGCUUUUCUACCUCUAUAGAUGCAUCUAACCAUUAGAGGCAACCUCUAAGCAUUGCAAUCUCCUACCUCUAAGAAUCUAAGAUAGAAAUGUCUUUUUUUUUGGAGGCAGCCUCUAUGCUAUAGAAGUCCAAUAGAAUAAGCAAGAAAAAAGAUCAUGUGAGAACAUCAUAGUACUUUGUACUGAUACGUGAGGUCCAUCUUAGAUAUGAAAUUGCUUCUAAAGACUGCAGCAUUUGGUGAUAAAGUUAGAGACCAGAGAUGGAUCCCAGCUUAGAGGUACUGUUACCUCUAAAGACUGUGGAUGCCCUUAGCUUCGCCUCCUCUGCUUUCCAGUUCUGUUCUUGGUGCUGGCUGGUUCAUCAGGUGGAAUCGGAGGAUGGCAGGCAUAGGAUAGUUAGAACAAGUCCUUAUGGAGUUUCGGCCUGGCCCAACAUCAAUCAAACCCUAGACUGGCCUAGACACUCCCCAGUGGCCCAGUCCCCACCCUCUGUUCACGUAAACCUCCCGAAAACCCCACCCACGAUCCGCCCGCCGCCGCCCCAAACCCCCCUUCUCCCCGAUUCGUGCACUCGGCCCUCCCCUAGCAGCGCUCCGCCGGAAGCAGCUCGCCGUCGCCUCGCCGCUGCCUGCGUCGGCACCACGCCUCGCAGCCUCCGUCGGCGCCGCGCCGCGCCGCCGCCUGCGUCUAUGGUUGCGCCGCACAGCUGUACACCAGCCAGAGUAAUAACUCAUCACCCCUUCCCCUAAACCUCAGCUGAAACCUAAACCCUCCCCCAUACGUCGGCGCCGCCGCUCACACCAACCUCAGAGCCGUCUUCUCCUCCACGGAUCCACCUGGUCCGCCUCAUACGGUUGGAUUCUCGAUACAACCGUUCUCCCAUCUCUCCCUGCGCUCGCGGCGCUGCCAUGGCACCGCACGGUGAUAGGAAGAAGGGUAAGGCCCCGGCCCGCCCGAGCAAGCCGGAACUGCGGCCUAACCGCAAGGAAUUCAAAAACCACCGAAAUGAGGAGGUUGAGAAAGGGGGUGGUGGAAAGCAGCAGGAGCAGGAGCCGGAGCCGCAUUCUGCAGCGCUCUUCACCGCCGACGACGACGGUGCCUUCCCGAGAGGUGAGUAACGGACGCGCGGUUUGGCCUGCUCUCCGUAUGCCGGUUUCGUACUGACGUGGGUUUGGGACUUUCGGUGCGCAGGAGGACGCAGCCUCCUGAGCAGGGAUGAGAUGGCAGAGGCGCGCACGGAGGCAGAUGCAGAGUUCGAGAAGGAGGAGAGAAGGGGGGCGAAGAAGAGGAAAUCCAACAUCUCUAUAGGAAUUGACGCUGAUGAUGAUUUGGGGACCCUUUUCGGUGGUGCUACCACUGGGAAGCUCCCACGCUUUGCCAAUCGCAUUACCUUGAAGGUUUGACUUUUCGAUACUGUUGCCCGUGACCGUCAGGUUGAAGAAAUACCCUUUUUUAUGAUCACAUGACAACAUUGCUAAUUAAAUGUUGGGACAUAUAACCUGUCCAACUAGUUCAUUUCUCUAACAUUAUUGGAGAUAUAUGUGAUCCAGUUUUGAGUUCCACACAUGCCUUAACAGCUUUGAGCCUUUGGCAUCAUAUGCUGAGUUCCACAUUUUUUUUUGAGCGAAUGCUGAGUUCCACAUAUUCCUUGCAUCUUUGAUUCUUUGACACCACAUGCCGCUGCCUGCAGUGCGCUCCCAAAUUAUGUCGUGUAAAUUUAAAUGGCUGUUUCCAGAGAUGAGUGUAAAUUAUAACUUGCAUUUUGAAAUGUCAAAGGCGCCUCACAAUCAUGAACUUCAUUAAUUCGAUUCUUACUUGGCUGACGGCUGGUGCCUGUUAGAUGCAACAUCAAGUUGAUUCAGAGCCAGAUUUCCCUUUGUGUUUAAUCUUCUAAUCUUCUCCACAACUCAAUUAUCAAAUGCAAGAGGAUUCUUUAGCAUAUGGUCUCUUUAAGUGGUCAGCUUUGUUUUCUAUCUGAUCUGCAUCAACAGAAGUAACUGGUUAUGGGGUAUUUAUUCUCGGAACGAUAUUCUUGGAUGGAGUGCUGCUGUUUUUGUGUAACGGCCAUGUCAAUCAUUUUCCUUUGUUUUCUCAGAAUAUUUCACCAAAUAUGAAGCUUUGGGGUGUUGUAAUUGAAGUUAACCAAAAAGAUGUUAUAGUAAGUCUACCUGGUGGAAUGAGAGGGUUUGUUCGCAAAGACGAAGUGUCUGACCUUGCUCUGCACGGAAAUCACAAGGUAUUGGAUAUUUUGAUUUUUUCCCUUUCAAGUUUGUGUAAUUAGUAUUCUGCCAAUUAUAAUAAUUCAAUAUUGUUUUUUGUCCAAUAUUGUCCAAUUAUAAUAAUUCAAACUGAUGCUGAUGUUGGUUUUAGCUAUGCUAUUUCACUGUAAACAAGUUCCUUCUUCUUGCAGGAUAGUGAGAGCAGUAUAUGUGCUGAAGUUGUCCAUGUUGGUCAGCUCGUACCUUGUGUAGUUCUACGAGUUGAUGAUGAUAAGAAAGAAGGAAAAGUAAACAAACGGGUCUGGUUAUCAUUGAGGUUGACACUCAUUUACAAGGGUCUUUCUCUUGAUGGUAUCCAGGAUGGAAUGGUAUUUAUAUUCACCCUGGUUCUGUAUACGCAUGAUAUGAUCUUAACUCUUAGCAUGGAACCGCAUGAAUUACCUUGUCCGUUUUUGUUCUUGAUAUGUACAAGGUCAUAACACACAACCAUACUAGUCUUUAAUUGGUGUACAACUCUAGCAUAAUGCAAAAUUGAUCAAAGUUUUGUACGUGUGCAAUUGUUUUUAUUUUAUGUAAAAUUCACACACAUAAAACAACUUGUACCCAACACAGCUGAAAGCUUGUACCUGAUCAUGCAGAUACAUGUCAGAGCUUAGACCCACAGAGUCAAAAUGGAAGGGAAAAGGGAAACAUCCAUUAAGAAUACUGAUAACAUAAAAGAAAACUUACUGCCCUUCCAUGUUUCCAUUUUCUAGACGUAGUCAACAUUUAAACAAUCGCAAAUUAAUGCCACACCUCACCACCUACUCAUACCCAUCACCGUUACUCUUUCAGCGAGGAGAAUUUGGUAAGCUUGUUUAUGGUUUUUGUAUCUAUAAAUGAAAGGGGCUGUUUCGCUGAUAGCCAAAAUUGGCACUGCAACUAUGUAAAUUUUAGUCAAGACAUGAGAUUUUGACUGGUCAGUCACAUGGGUGUGAAAGCCAAACACUGGCAAUGAACCGACAACAUGUACAAAGAGUUGAACAUUCUCUUGAGGUUUGAGCCUCCCUCCCUAAAUUGGGCAAUGUUGAAACCUGGCACCAAUCUAAGCAUCCCUGCAGCUGCAUAUAAAACUAUGAGAAGUUUAAUGGAACUAUGGUUGGUAAUCAUCAUUAAAUCUUUCAGCUCACUGAGUCACCUUUACUCGAUUUAGAGUCUGCUUAAUUGGUACUACAUCCGUUCCAUAAUUCUUGUCGAAAUCUUACAUGUAUCUAGACACUUUCUAGAAAUAGAUACAUCCAUUUUUAAGCAAAUUUGAGACAAGAAUUAUGGAACGGAGGGAGUAGUCGUUUAUCUUGCCUACCCAGAUUAAGGUGCUACUCACAGUAACUUUAACAGUAUACAUAAUCUGCUCAAUUGACUGUCCAUUACCCACCCACCCUUUUUAUAGUUCUUGCAUACUUGAUGAUGGGUUAGAUUCUGAAUUAACUCUCGCAUGUAUGUUUCGCAGGUACUCACUGCCCAAGUGAAAAGCGUUGAGGACCAUGGUUACAUUCUUUAUUUCGGAGUAUCCACCUUUAGUGGAUUUAUGCCAAAAUGUGACAAAGGUAGACAUUGGCAAUAUCUUAAUCAGAGUACAGUUCCAAUUAUAUUUGUUCAUAGAUUUCACAUGUCUAGGUAACUGCACACAUUAUGCCAGUUAUUGUUCUAUAUUAGCAGUUUCACAGGUAACUUCUAUUCCUUGGAGCAACUUAGUAGCUUACAUAAAUAUAGUUUCGUAGUGCUUAUAAUGUCCAUAGUCCAGUUUGCAAGACUCAUUCUGUGGAAAAACACUGAGAUAUUGUUUUCUUUCCUCUUGUUAUUUGGUGCACUUAUCGGUAAACUUUUUAUUGUGGGAAGUAGCCAAGAGUUAACCAACUGGCAUUCUUUUGUAGAAACUGUGAAGAUUGAGAGCGGACAACUCGUGCAAUGUGUUGUGAAGGCAAUCGAUAAAGCUCGAGCUAUUAUUCACUUGAGUUGUGAUGAAGACUUGCUCUCCAAAUCCAUCGUAUGGUUAACUACUAUUAGUCAAGGGCUCUUGACUUUAUUCUGUUCUAUGUCUGUGAUGCAGUUAGUGAUGAUUUAUAAUGCUGCUUCUAUGUAGAUUAAAGAUCUGAAAGGCCUUUCUAUUGAUCAUCUAAUUCCUGGCAUGAUGAUGAAUGCACGUGUUCAUACAGUUCUUGAAAAUGGAGUUAUGCUGUCAUUUCUUACUUAUUUCACUGGAACCGUAAGUUCUUAGCACUUCAGCAUUUGAACUUUGGCAUGGUUUGGAUUUUACUCAGAUAUUUCACAUUGUUAUCUUUUCCUUGUUAUAGGCUGAUAUUUUUAAUUUGUCAAACUCAUUUCCCUCUGGUAAUUGGAAAGAUGAUUACAGUAAGAAUAAGAAGGUAAUCAUUUGUUCUUUCCUCUGCAUUUGAUAAUUGUUAUGACCAUGGAUCAAUUCUGUUUAGCAUGAGUGAGAGCAAUGUUUGUACUGUUCAGGUUUAUUUACUUAUGCUGAGUUUGGCAUCGAGGUUGAUUAUUAUAAUCCAGCUAUUUUGACCAGCUUUUGCCAAUUUUUUUUUGUUUGGCUAACAAACUUUUGCCUGCCUUCAUGUUUAUUUUCCCACACCAAAUUAUAGAAUAAGUCCAGCACAGCACGGUUCAGUACCGAAAACUGAGCCUUAAUAUUAACUUGUUAUGAAUUCUCUUGUUACCACCUUUUUUGUCAGAGUUUUUGAAACCUGAACCGGACCCAAACUGUUUGCUAGUCAGUCCGUUAUGAUUUCUCUUAAAAGUUGCCAGACAUUUGUUUCCUCAGAUACUUAGUGUGGGAUGUACCCACCUGUGCCCGGUUCUUUGUAUAGGAAAGAAAGCCCCAUGGAUAUCUCUCCUCUUUGUGUAUCUUUUCUCGAGUGUUUAACUAAAGCAAAUUACUCUUUAAUGCUACAAUAGUCAGGCAGCUCUCGGAGUACCAUUUGUGUCGUGGCCUGUGCCUCACUUUUCUAAUUCACACAUUGAUUCCACUAUCAUUUCUUUGAUCUUAUAAGUGAAUUUUUCAUUCUCUUUAUGCUACAAUUUACAGGUAAAUGCCCGAAUCUUAUUCGUUGAUCCGUCGACAAGAGCAGUUGGGCUUACAUUGAACCAGCACUUACUUCGUUUUGAAGUACCCCCUGUUGUAAGUUUUCUGGUUUGAUCUGACCAUUUUCUUUUCGUACCUUUUUUGAAUGUUUCCAUUUAUCCCAUUCUUUUGUGAUUGAUGAUACUUCCCCACGCAGAAUGUUAAAGUUGGAGAAAUCUAUGAGAGAUCUCGGGUUCUGAGGAUGGAUAAAAGGGCCGGUCUUUUUCUUGAAAUACCUUCUCCAACUCCAUCACCUGGAUUUGUUAGUGUAUGUGUUCUUUUCUUUUGGAUAUUUUUUGCCUGUUAGCAUUAGAGAGCCCAUCCAUCUUUUGUUGCUUACAAUCACUAAUAUUUUCAUAUUAAAUUUCUCUAGAUACAUGAUGUAUCAGACAAGGAUGUGAAGAAAGUUGAGAAGAAAUUUAAGGAAGGCAGCAUCACACGUGUCCGUGUACUUGGAGUGCGACAUCUUGAAGGAGUUGCGCUAGGCACCCUAAAAGUAAUUACAUUUGGUUACUUGUUUUUUAUUCUGUGUCUUGAUUUACUUUUGAUAUCUAAAUUCUUCACUUUUUGAUGCGUAGCAAUCCUUAGUAUUUGACACUCCCUGGUCCAUGUUACAUCCUACUUUUGUUCUACACCUGAUAGACUUUUGAACUUUUCUUACAUCCUAUACAGUUGUUGUCUAGCAACUGUGUUCCAUAAAGGUCGAUUGAGUUGUGAAUGAGAGUUCAUAUGGUUAGAAAGAUAAUGUUAGUGUGUGGCGUCGCGUAAAUGGACAUGGCAUGGACAGUCUACUCCUAAGUUGACUGAGAUUUUCUUAUGUCUAAGUCGAUGAUGCUAGCCGUCUGAUCUAAUUUUGAUUCUCUCAAACCCUGUGCAAAUCUCAACACGGAGACAUUGGACGUGUCAGUGUGUCGACUUGGACAUAAGAAAAUCUAUUUCCUGGCGACUUGGAUUUAGCAAGACCAUUACACCUGAUUUAUGGAAUAAGAUGGUAAAGUAGCUGGCAUUAGUGGUAGCUGGUUUAUACUUCUAUAAAGGUAGCUUUGUUAGUAAACAAAGGUGUUGGAUGAAGCGUGGAGGGUGUGAUUUGAUUGAAUUGGUCUGUUUGUUACUUAGUUUCCAUGACACUGUUUAGUAUUUCUAUUUCUGGUCAUGAGUUACAGGUUGCUUCUUUUCUUAGUCUUAAUUAUUUUUUCAUUGAACCCUUCUCAAAUUGUUUGUGCUUUUGUUAGAUUUGUAAUUAACUAGUGGAUACCCCGCGCGUUGCAGCGGGCCUCAAAAGCAAUGCACUUGCCUUACGUGAAAGAAAAAUGGAUUGUAACAAAGCAAAAUAAACAAUAUAGGAGGAUUAAAACUCAUGAUAUCAUUGACUUAAGAGAUAACUUAAAUGUGUUUGUACGGCAUACAAAUUUGUUUAUCUUCGGGACUAAUUUCCCAUGUAACUGAAAAGACAAAAAUAUUUAGGUUGAACUACAUGUUGUUGCUCUGAGUUUCAUAAGAAUAACUUGGAGAUGUGGCAUCUAAUUUUUCAUAUAACCUAUGUUGACAAAUGGGUGAUCACACGGUAUUUGGUUUGAGGUGCGAGCAUGAGAAGACAUGGUUUUAAAAGCACCAAUGAUGGUUUAGUAUCCCUCAUCUUUUGAAUUACAUCGGUACAUUUAUUAUUAGCUUCUCAUGCCGGAAUGAUGAGACAUGAGAGUAGAGCAGACAUGGUUGGUGAGUUUGGUAACGUCAGGGGUAAAAUGUUAUGAUGAGAGUGCCUUGAGAUAAAAAAAAUUUAUGUUUUUCUCGCACACAGAAGACAUGCAUGUUGAGCUUGCAAACAUCAAAACGGAUCUUAGUGAGACAAUGAUGACGUGGAAACUCUGUAUGUUGAGUUUAGUGGGAUCAACUUAAUGAUGUGGACACUUUGCAUGUUGAGCUUGCAAACAUUAUUAAAUGAAUCUUAGUGGAAAUCAACUUGAUGACAUAGCACUUUGCAUGUUGAGCUUAGUGGGAAUAAACUUGAUGAUUUGGACACUUUGCAUGGAGCUUGCAAACAUUAAAUGACUCUUAGUGGGUAUCAACUUUAUAGAUAUUAUAGAUAUGAUGGCAAUGUACGCUCAUUCUUAUUCUUCUUUACUUUACCGGGAUUCUCAUUCUUUUAGCAUUUGAACUAUUCUAGCUAAAUUAUUUGAAAGACAUGCCAGUUGGUUCAUCUUGUUUAAUUUUGGCAUGCAACUGACAAAUUAUUUCCUUGCUGGUAUAUACAUGUACUUAAUAUCAAAGCAUGCCAGCUAACCUGUCAAGCUGUCCUGUAAAAUAUAUUUAUUACCUUUUCUUCAACUAGCAAAAGAUAUUGUAUCUGAGGAUAUCUGUGUUGUAUUUUUUUGCAGGACAGUGCUUUUGAAGGUUCUGUUUUCACCCAUGCUGAUGUCAAACCAGGAAUGGUAGUGAGAGCUAAGGUUGUUACUGUUGGGCCUUUGGAAGCAAUCGUGCAGUUUGCAGGUGGUGUGAAAGCACUUUGCCCGCUUCGUCACAUGUCUGAGUUAGAUAAUGUUGUAAAGCCACCGAAGAAAUUUAAGGUGUUGUGUUUUUCUCCCUCUUAAUUUCCGUUGUAUCUAUCAUGAAGCUGCUAUAUGAUUAAGCUGCAUAACUUGUCCAUGGCUACUUUUUUUUGUUGCUCUUCUGUAGGUUGGAGCUGAAUUACUUUUCCGUGUUUUGGGUUGCAAAUCCAAGAGAAUAACAGUGACAUACAAGAAAUCGCUGGUACCUUAAUUGUACUCUUACCCUUCAAAAUCUAACAUCCUGUGAAUUAUUGUACAUUGAAUAGAGCAUGAUGAAAUAUUGUCUUUCACAUUUUUCCUCAUUCUUGUAUAAGCUAGAAGAUUCCAAGAUAGAAAUCUUAUAGUAUGUUCUUUAGCAAUACUUUAGUUGCCUCAUCAGGAGCAGGGAGUCAAAUAAUAAAGUUAUGGAGUACUUUCAGGUCAAAUCAAAACUUGAAGUGUUGGCCUCAUAUGCUGAUGCCAAGAUUGGUUUAGUGACUCAUGGAUGGAUUACUAAAAUAGAAAAGCACGGUUGCUUUGUGAGAUUUUACAACGGAGUUAAGGGUUUUGUGAGCAGGUUGGUCUCUGUUUUGUCUACACUCCUUACAUGUGAUGAUUUUCAUGGUGAAAGCAUGCUCAUUUCUUUGAAGUCUAUAUCUGUGUUGGGUUUAAUAAAAAAUCAGAUUUAAUCUCAUUGGAGAUUUCAGUGUCGUUUUUCUAUGGAUAUAUCAUAUAUGGAUCCGUAGGCACUAUAGUUUUAUUGAAUAUAUGUAUCUAACAUAUUUCCUAAUUUUUACUAGAUCUGAGCUUGGACUAGAGCCAGGUACUGAAGCUGGGAGUGUUUAUCAUGUUGGGCAAGUUGUCAAAUGUAGAAUUGUCAGUGUUGUCCCUGCUUCAAUGAAACUAAAUGUUAGUUUUGCAACAUCUUCUAAUAGGUGAGUGCUCCUUCUUGUUCUUUGUUCUUUGUGUGCUCUCUGACUCAUGUCCCAUAACUGGAUAAUUGGAUUUGUCUUAGAUAAUGUUGAUUUGUCUUGCAGUUCUUUAGGAAUAUGUAAUUGUUGGUAUUUUUGCCAGUAUAUUGUGAUUAAAAAUACUAGUCAAGGUCUUGCGAUUGGAUGGAUUGAGUAACAAAUAACUUUUCUUGGACUUGAUAUAUGGUUGUUUAGUUUUCAAUAACCUGGCAGGGCGACUGCUUUUCAUUAAGAAAUUUGAAUUUGUAAUUACGUACACAUCGUCUGUAGAUGUAUUUAUGAGCAGAACAAGUCCAAAAACACAUCAGUCGAGCGAGAGAUGUCACCCAAUGAAGCACCGUUACGACUGGGUCAGCUGUGUCCACGUGCUGAUACGACAGAAUACAGGGAUACCACGGGAUACAGCGGGAUGUGUAUCCAAGUAUACCCCUUUUCCAAUUUAAACCAAAUAAAAGAAAUCAGGAUACGGGCAUACGGCAGGGAUACUGGGUAGAUAUGGUUGGGAUACAGGCAGGGAAGAAGAUGAGAAAGGCGGCCACAGGCAAGGAAGAAAUUCAUGGUGGGAGGAUAAGGAGCACGGCUGCUGGCGAGGAAGAACAUCUGGGCAGGAGGAAGAUAAGGGCUGUGGCCGGCGGCAAUAUAGAAGAUCCGGGUGGGAAGGAAGACGUGGAUGGCAGGCCAGUGGCCGACAACGAGCAUGAAGAUCCGGGCAGCUGUGCGGUUGUGGCUGUCAUCUCGUCUCAUGUUCUGCAGCUAGCUAGUGGAGCAAAGGGUGGCAGAGGGUGAAUCAGGAAGCUUACUUGGUUUAGGGUUUUGUUUCGCCUUAUAACUGAAGUCCAUACUUUUUUGUGAGCAUGUUUAAUUCACUAAAGAGCACUGCUACGCGUACGAUACAAAAUUGCACGAUUUGCUUACACUGCCUAGCAAAAUUCCACCGUUGCACUUGGGCCUGGGCCUAUGGGCUAAGCAGAUUCAAUAGAUCACCUAGGCAUCUUAUGGAAAUCGUACGACUAUCAUACACAGAGUAGUCCCGUUCACUCAAUAAUAGUCCCAGGUGUUGUAUAAAUACGCUUUCUUUGUUCUGAAGGGCAUGUGUAUUCUUAAAUGAUCUGCAACUGUUACAGCUCUUAGACCUUUGUUACAUGAGUCAAAACAUGAUCAUUUUGUGUUUACUGCAUCUUCCUUUUUCUUCGUUUAUCUUUAGCUAAGAUCAUUUCCAAUACUUCCAGUCUCUUGUUGGCGACCACUGACACCUAGUAGCCGCUUUUUAACCGGAAAAUGUCUUGGGCAGUUCCAUGCCUGGUUUGUGAACCAGUACCUGUGUUUUUCUCAGGCAAUUUUCCUAUUGCUUUGUGUAGCUUAACAACUAAAGUUUCACUAUUCUGCGUUUCAUUUUUCUCAUGCAGGAUUAUUCAAGCCGAUACUGCGAAGGUGGGUACUAUUGUCUCUGCUGUUGUGGAGCGGCUUACUCCUGCAGCUGUUGUUGUCAGUGUAAAUGGCUUCUCCAAGGGAUCUAUACUUGACGAGCAUUUGGCCGAUCAUCAUGGUAAGUCCUCAUUCGGAAUACUCCAUCCCCUUAUGCUGCAUGCAAAACAGACACAAGGUGUGGCCCACACGUCCACAUGUCUUUUUUUGUUCAUCUGUACAUGUGCUGUUCAGUAUGCCAUUUACCUUUUUUCUUCUUAAUUAGGCCAAGCUGCUCAGUUGAAGAAUUUAUUGAAGCCUGGCCAUGAGUUCAACCAGCUUCUAGUUCUUGGUAAAGUCAUUAAAAUUCUAGCCUCUUAUUAAAUUCAUAUCGAUCAAUGGACAAUUUUCCAUCGUCCGUUCAGUUUGUGAGUACAGUGUACUAGUAAUAUGUAUACUUGUAUCUGAAGAUUCUGAACCAUGUUUUACUGUGGCACAUGGCAGUAAACUAUGCUGUUGUGCAUAGUAUGGCUUAGUCUGUGUAUAAUGUGUUUUUCAUGCAACCGAUUUGUCGUUUACUGAUCCAGCAUGUGCACUCUUGUUUUUUUUUGGUUGAAUAUUUCUUCAAUUGAGUGAUUAUUGCCUUUCCCUUUUUGAAUAUCAUGUUGUGCAGAUACCGAAGGGCAAAAUUUAAUUCUUUCUGCUAAACAGUCACUUAUCAACAGUGCAAAUGACAUUCCAUCAGAGAUAUCGCAGAUGCAAGCGGGAGCUGUAGUUCAUGUACAAUUCUUUAUUUGUUUCAGUUAGAUUUUUGAUGAGCAAGUUUGUUGACAUCUCUUUUACCUUAGGGUUAUAUUUGCAACAUCAUAGAAGCUGGUUGUUUUGUUCGCUUUCUUGGACAUCUGACUGGUUUCUCUCCCAAGGAUAAAGUAAGUAUAUUUUGGUUCAGUCGUUCACUUAAUCUUAAAAGAAAGCUUAACCUUGCAUGUCUUCAUUCUGCCGUUCUCUCUCUUUAUCUGAAAAGAGAAGCCUAAUCAUGUUUCCUAAAGGCAGUUGAUAUACCAAUGGAAAAGCUUUCUGCUGCGUUCUUUGUUGGCCAAUCAGUUCGAAGUCACAUCCUCAACGUACGUAUGAUAUACUGCUGUUGGUACUUGCAUGUUUGAAUACUGCGUGUUUGGAUUGCUCUGAAUUGUACAUCAUUUAUUAUAGGUAAAUGCAGAAUCUGCCCGAUUGAAGCUUUCACUGCAACAGUCUGUGUGCUCUUCACCAGAUUGUUCCUUUAUGCAAGGAUACUUUCUUCUGGAUCAGAAGGUCAUCAUUUAAAUAUGUUUACUUUUUUGCUCCAAGUUAAACUGUUGAAGGGAACUUUUAUCUUGUGGCUGGUAACACUGUGGUAUAUUGGGGGGCAUUGAUAAUGGAAGCUUGAUAAGACAGCAGUGUUGGUGAGGUCUGGGUGGAACUUGCAAGGUUACAAGGGUGUGUUUGUUGUAGCUCUGGCAUAAUCUGGACAUUCAGCACUGUUGAUUAUGGAAAUGUGGCCAAUCGCUGAUGGGGAACUGUAGACCGUUUGGAUGCCCUAGAAUUAUCCCAGUCCCUGGUCCCCGCCCACCCCCCUGACUCCGGUCUCGGCCCCCAUGAAAAAUUCUGUAGCAGACGACAGCGGGCGAUGUUUCUCCUCCUGGAGGCUAGAGGCAAAUGAUGACAGCCAGAAUGCAGGUACUGGAGCUUGCAGGCAGACUAUGGCAAGCCGCGUGCUGGUUGCUGGAGGUCACAGGGUUGCUGUGUUGGACAAGGAAUGGUCCAAUGGUUGAUGGAAGCAACAGCAGCAGGAAGUUCAGGAGCAGGAGAGUAAAAGCAGAUGAAGGAUUGGGGUUUUGACAUAUUGUGGGCAGCGGCAUCUGGAACCAGGCUUUGUUAGGGUUUUGGCCCAGUAUAUCCUAUAUACUGGUAUAUCUGGCCUACAUGUCAUAUGCUUCGCUGGGCUUCAUGGGUGGCGGGUAUGUGGAAUUAUCGAGCAGGGACGGCCACGCAAGACCUGAUGGGGAUGACUUCUUUAACACGAGCAUGUGGGGGAUUAAAUUUGUACCAUUCCUAUCCCCCACUAGAGGAAAUCCCCGUCAGAAACCGGGGAUUAGGGUCUGUCGUCAUCCAUCGUGAUUCUCUAAAUUUAGGCUUUUUUAGAUGGAAAUAACAUCACAGCGAUUCUAUUCAAAAUAUCAAAUAUCUGAAAGUUUCUGAUUUGUUCACUUUGUUUACUAGUUUUCACCUUUAUGUUUCUGAGAUAUGGAUUAGUCUCAUUUCAUAAUAUGUUUUAGUGUGUACUCUUAUAAUUGGUGUUACCUUGUUGAUCUAGAUUGCGGAAAUGAAGUAUUCAGGUAGCAGUACUUCUCAUGAUUGGAAGAAAUCUCUUGGCAUUGGCAGCUUGGUUAAGGGGGAGGUGGGAGCAGUAGAAGAAUAUGGUGUUAUCCUUAACUUCAAAGACCAUCCUGAUGUUGUUGGCCUGAUUGAACAUCAUCAACGUAAGUAACUCAUUUUCUUCCUUUAUGCCUUUAAUUGGCGCAUCAUUGUUACUCGUUUCAAAAGUUCCAUUCUCUUCUUCUGCAGUUGGUGGCAGUACUGUAAAAGUGGGUUCUUCUGUGAAGGGUCUUAUUGUGGAUUUAUCUGAUGGAGUUGUAAAUUUAUCCCUUAAGCCGGAACUAAUUGGCAGUGUCAGCAUGGAUGGAAAAAAGAAGGUAAUAGCAGCACCUUCUUCUAGAUUUACGUGCCUCCUAUAUUUCCUGCCAUCCUGCCCUCCCUAUCUGUGGUGCUUGCUAGAGACUGCUCUAAUGGCCUUUAGCAUUGAGACUCUCGAAAUUGCUGCCACCAUUUGUUUCUGAACCUCAGUUUGUAUGUUGUUUGAUUUUACUUCACCAAAUAAAAUAUCUGCAUGGUUCUCAAUUUGCCAGUCUUCAGUCUACCAAUUUAAUUUUUUUUACACCAACAUUUUGUAUCUUGGACUGGUUCUUUGGUUGCACUCCAGAAACGUCACAGAGCUGCGGUUUUGGACUUGGAGCUUCAUGAAGAAGUGAAUGCAGUUGUGGAGAUAGUCAAAGAGAGCUAUGUGGUGUGCAAAUUACUCAUUAUAUGACCAAUUUCUUAAUUGAAUAAAAGGGUUACAAAUUCUUAUUGUUUAUGUUUGAUUCUAUCCAGGUUCUUUCUGUCCCCGAGUAUAAUCAUGCAAUAGGUUUUGCACCAUUGAUGGAUUACAACUCUCAGCUGCUUCCUCACCACCAUUAUGAUAAUGGGCAGCGGUAAUCAUGUGAAUUUAUUUGAGUUGUGUUGUGCUGUGUUGAUUAAUCAAAGCACUAUACUUUGAUAUACCACAACAAUAUUCAUAGCAGUAUACCCUAAUACAAUACAGUAUACUCCACCCCUACUAUUUACAUGAUUUCCUAAUACGAUACAAUUGCCUAAAGGACUCUGGAUUUUAACAUUUUUGGACUCCCUGCUCCACAACAGUAGGUUGACAAUGCAACAUAACAUUGAUAAGACAAGUCUGAGCCUCUCUUGAAUUAAGCUUAGUUGAACUGUUCACACUAUGUACUAAAUAUGUAUUCCUCCGAUCCUAAAUUCUUGUCGUUGUUUUAUUACAAAUUUGAACUAAAACAACGGCAACAAUUAGGAUCUGAGGGAGUAUAUUAAUAUUCAAUCCUAUCAAGCUCAAGCUUGUCUCAGUAAGGUCCUAAAGCUCAAGUGUUGCAUUGUUCCAAGCUCUAGCUGCUUGUUGAACCACAAGCUUCUUUUACACCGUGUUUUUAUAAUGUUGUGGUAUUGUAUCUGCAUUGUUGUCAUCAUUGUUGAUCUUUUAUAUGUUGAUCCUUCUUUUGAAUGAAAAUCCCGUAGAAAGUUCUAUAAAUGCUUGGGCAGUCUGGGGUUCGUGAUAUAGUUUGGUAGUGUCGUGCUUGGAGUUUCAUAUUUUAUAUUGUCACAGUAGGAAAUGCAUCCAGUCUGAUAUAGAUAUAUAGGAACAUCUGCCAUGUUUGCAGCUGAACAAGGCAGUUUCUUAGUGUAUUACCGUAAAUGAUUUAGAGUUCAGUGCAAAGCAGCACAGUAUGUUACACCAAACACAGACAGACUGUCAAGGCUAUAUCAUUUUCUUAAGUAAUAUGAUUGCCAAUAGUUUUUGGAAAGUGGCCCUGUUAUGUUGGAACUCAUGCAGUUACAAUUCCCAAAUUCUGAGUAAUAUUCUUAUUUUUCCUUUUGUGUUUUGUUGAAGCAUUACUGUCGUUGUUGGAAGUAUCCCAAGUUCUGACCCUUCUGGAAGACUUAUCCUACUCCCGAAAACAUCAGGGCAGGGUUCUGGUCUCUCUAGUUCUAGAAAAGCGAAGAAAUUGUCCGACAAAGUUGGGUCACUUGUUGAAGCAGAGGUGCGACUAGCAUUUUUUAUGAUUGGCCAGUCUUUGCUCUUUAUUUGCAAACUUUGCUUAUGCCUGUUGAUCCUGUUUGGUCACAGGUUAUCGAUAUCAAGCCACUUGAGCUUAUUGUGAAAUUUGGUGUCAAUCAUCAUGGGAGGAUUCAUAUUACCGAGGUAUAUACCGAACUUUUUAUUUAGAGUGAUUUCCAUAAGUAAAUUUUGGAUCUGAGAUUGGUUAUAUAUUUCUUUCAGGUCCUUGAAGAUGAUUGCAGUGAGCAUCCUUUUAGUAAACUCAGAAUUGGGCAAAAGAUCCAUGCAAGAGUUGUUGCCCAAGCUGAACAUUCAGCAAAUAGCGGCAGAAAACUAAAAUGGGAACUGUCUAUUAGACCAUCUGUGCUUCAAGGUAUGCUGUACACAAAAUCUUCGUUUGUGUAUUCCAUAAUAUAUAUCCAUCUCUUAUAGUUAACUGCUUCCGUUUAGUUUAACCAUCAUUAUUUGUACUUUUGGUGCUUAUGAUUUGAUAUGACUUGUUUUCCUGAUUUCUGUUUUUCUUCUUCUGCCUGACCAUCUAACAGGAGAGUCCAAACAAUUAAAUGCCCUUGAAAACAAAUCAAACCAUUCAGUGAAUGGAAUUGUGCGUGCUUAUGUCGUCAAGGUGGACAGGGAGUGGGUCUGGUUAACUGUAUCAAGAAAUGUUACGGCGCAUUUAUUUAUUCUCGAUAGUUCCGUUGAGCCCAUUGAACUAAAAGAGUUCCAACAGCGGUACCGUGUCGGCCAAGCAGUGAAAGGAUAUAUUAUUGGGGUGAAUAGAGAGAAAAAGUUGUUGAGGCUGAAAGCACUUGAUAACCAAGCCAUGCUCAAGAAUAUAGAUGACACCCAAAAACCAAUCUCUUCUAUUGCUGAACAUACAAAGGAAGGCGAUAUAAUUGGUGGACGCAUUCAAAAGAUUCUACCUGGUGUUGGUGGGCUACUCAUCCAGAUUGGACCUCAUCUUCAUGGAAGGGUUCAUUAUACUGAAAUUGUUGAUUCGUGGGUACCAGAACCCCUUUCUGGAUUCCAUGAAGGUCAGUUCGUGAAGUGCAAGGUCCUGGCUGUAAGCCGCCCAUCUGAAGGAUCUGUCCGAGUAGAACUGUCACUUCGUUCAUCUAUCCUAUGCACAAGUCAUGACCCAUCAAGAAAACUAGUUGAUGAUUCGUAAGUCAUAUCACUUGCAAAAGUAUUGUUGAUUCCGAAGAAACUAUGGACAGUGAUGUUUUAACUGUGGUAAAUAUGUUUAUUUUUGUCGAAAUUUAUUGCUACACUGUAUUUCAAACAGACCUUAAGUACAAAUUAAAUCUGGACAGCUACAACUGCCUUUCUGGCUGUGUUGGGGAUUGCAAAAUACUGACAUCCGCAAAAUCCGAAAAAAACACUGACCCAAUCCCUCACAUGAAAUAGGCCUGUUAGAAUUUUGAAUGUUGUACACAAAGUAUCAUUAUUUUAGUUGUCCUAAAAAAUAUUAUGUCUACCACUUAAUGCAUGACAUUUAUUUUGUAGGGCAACUUGCACUACCCGGUUUGAGAACGUCAAUGAUCUGUCCCCUGGAUCAGAGGUUAAGGUAUUUUCUUCUCAUUUUAUGAGUGUUUACUUUCUGCCUGAAAAUUUUGACUUGAUGCAGUCUACUAGUAGGAGCCACAGCUCACCAUUUUUGCAGUUUCUAAAAGAAACUUGUUUUGGUGUGAAUGUUAGUGAAUGUUAAUGUUGUUACCUUCAUACAACAUUUCUAUUAUAAACUUUGGGCCUGGGGUGGUGUGUGUGUGUGCUAUAAGAUGUUAUGUUAUACCAGAGCUGAAAUAAUAUUUUAUGUUCUAUCCAAGAUACCUACCACCUUUUAUGGUUUUAGAAUUAAGGAAAAUUACACGCCAUGUUGUUGGCAGCAAGCAUCGAGCACCGAAAUGAGUAGAACUUGUUUCUACUGCAGUGUAGAAAUGAAGUUAGUUUCUUGAUUGCCUUGGCUGUUUUAUAUUUAGCCUUUUACCAAUUUCUAUAAAUUUAUUUUCUAUGCGAUGGAGUAACAUGAGGUUUUAUCCAAUUACAUAUUUUCCCGUUGGAGCCUUUCCUACAUUUAUUUCUUUGAAGAAAAGAGUAACAUGAUGUCCUUUGUAGGGUUAUGUGAAGAACGUGAAUGCCAAAGGUUGUUUCAUUAUGCUUUCUCGAAUGAUCGAGGCUAGGAUUAUUUUGUCAAAUUUGUCAGAUGAGUAUGUCGAAAAUCCUCAGAAGGAUUUCUCGGUUGGAAUGCUUGUACACGGAAGGUUAGAUCUUGCAAUUCAUAAAUGGACAUCAACUACAAACAUUUUCUCUCAUGUAAUGGAAAAUUCCUGCAGGGUCUUGUCUGCAGAACCACUAUCAGGGAAAGUUGAAGUAUCACUUAGGAAGGGCACAGGUAGCAAAUCACAGAAGUCGGAUGGCAUUAGUUACAGUGAUCUGCAUGUUGGGGACAUCAUUGAUGGUCAAGUUAAACGGGUUGAAUCCUAUGGAUUAUUUGUGACAAUCCAGAGCAGUGAACUGGUAUCCUUUUGUCCUCUUUAGAUUCUGCAAGUGUUUUCAUUAACUGGUAUGUCAUGUAGAUCAUCCCUUUGUAGGUGGGCUUGUGUCAUGUAUCAGAACUUUCUGAUGAGCCAGUUCUUGAUAUUAACUCUUGCUACAAAGCUGGUGAUAUGGUUAAAGCCAAGAUUUUGAAGGCAAGUUUUAUUUAUGGUCAGAUUGGUCUUUUGCCACUUUAUGUGUGUUAAAAUUCCACUUCCUCUUCUCUACAUUCAGAUUGACGAGGAACGGCGCCGAGUGUCCCUUGGCAUGAAGAAAUCUUAUUUUGUCUCUGGUCUGACUGAUGGUAUAAAUGACGACGACGAUGAUGAUGAAAGGGUUCCUAUGGACAUCAAUCAUGUCCCUGAGAUGUCUAGUGAUUUGAACAGCGCCUUAGUUGUUCCAGAGCCAGAACCCAGGGCUUCUGUGUUGCCACUUCAAGUCUCCUUGGAUGAAUAUGAAGGUUCUGACCAAGAUAGUGAUGAUAAAGGUCCUAAAAUUGCUAAUGGAACUGGAUCAAUUGUUCAAAAGAGCGAUAAACGGUUGAAGGAGAAGGCGAGGAAACAAAGGUUUUCACACAUUUUAUUCUCCUUGUACCUUCAACAGUGGCAUUAGACUCUUUACAUCGUGUAUAUUUUUCAGGGAACUAGAUAUCAGUGCCUUGGAGGAAAGGGCUUUACAGAAAGAUAUACCAAAAACUCCAGAUGAAUUUGAGAAGUUGGUCCGGAGCUCUCCAAACAGUAGCUUUGUCUGGAUAAACUAUAUGGCAUUUUUGUUAGACCUUGCAGAUGUUGAGAAAGCACGUUCAGUAGCUGAAAGGUACAUCUGCUGUAUAUGGAUCCUUGUUUUCUGCUAAUUUUUUUAACUGGUGGUAGGAAGCUGUCACUUCAAAAGUUUCCAUGAGAAUUUCCAUUCAUAUUAAUCUCUUUAGCAAAGAGAUCUGGAUAUUUUAUAUUGUCAAGUUCAAGCCUGUCGCACACAAUCUUAUCGUAAUACAGUUGUCCCUUGUGUUUAUUAGGGCUUUGAGAACAAUAAACAUGCGAGAAGAGGAGGAGAAACUCAAUGUAUGGGUAGCAUACUUUAAUCUUGAAAAUGAAUAUGGUUGUCCACGGGAGGUGAGUUUAGAUGACAGUAUUAGGCUUCUCUCUGUUGUCCCGGUCAAGGAUACUGAUUUGUUGUAUGUAUACUAGGAUGCUGUCAAGAAAAUAUUCCAGAGAGCCAUGCAGUAUUGUGAUCCCAAAAAGGUGCACUUGGCUCUUCUUGGAAUGUAUGAGAGAACUGACCAGCACGAACUGGCAGAUGAACUUUUCGAUAGAAUGACCAAAAGAUUCAAGACUUCAUGCAAGGUUAGUAGCUCAGUCUCCUGCUUAUUUUAGGAUCAAAUUUCUGACUUACACUAUGCAAUUGUAGAUCUGGUUGCGCCGCAUUCAAUUUUCUCUCAAGCAAGGCAGGGAUGUUGAAUACAUCAAAUCCAUCAUAAACCGUGCGCUUCUAAGUCUGCCACAGAGCAAGCGUAUUAAAUUUCUCUCACAGACUGCUAUCCUGGAGUUCAAGUGUGGGGUGCCUGAGGAAGGGAGAUCCAGAUUUGAGCUUAUCUUAAGGGAGUAUCCAAAAAGAACAGAUCUUUGGAGUGUUUACCUUGACCAAGUAUGCAAUUGUAAAUUGUCACCCUUUUUCUGUUUAUCGGUCACCUGAUAUAGUUUUAUUGACAACAAGCAUUAUCUUUUGUAGGAAAUUCGCCUUGGUGACACGGACGUUAUACGGGCAUUAUUUGAUAGAGUGACAUGCCUUAGUCUUCCUCCAAAAAAGAUGAAGGUUUGGCCCAUUUGCCGUGUAUUCUUACUACUACCUCCGAUCCUAAAUUGUUGUUGAAAUAUUACAUGUAUCUAUACGCUUUUUAAUAAUAGAUACAUCCAUAUUUGGACAUAUUUGAGACAAUAAUUUAGGAUCGGAGGGAGUAGUAUAUUAACAACAAAUGCAUGCAUAAAAUUCAGUCAGAGAUAUUGUUGUCACGUACACUCAGUCUCUGAGUGUACUUGAUUCCAAAGUAGUAAACUCCAUACUUCACCCAUUUAAUUGUUAUUUAUUUCUUUGUAGCUGAAAUCGUAUGGCUAACAUGGCAGGGUUAGCUUGGUUAGUUGGGGUUGAGCUCAAACUUGUACCCUUACUCUUUAUCUGUCCUCUUUCCCAGCAUAUCUCUGGCCUGUUCUCUUUUCCUGUGGGAUAUCCAGAAUUAAUGUUUAAACAGAUCGUUACAUUUUUACUGAGGAUACCUGAUAUUUGCGAUUCAGUAUUACAUGCCACCAUUUUCAACAAGGGCUUUAUUAGCGUUCCUUGUAUUAAUGCUGGUUUCUCUGUUCGAUGCUCAUCGUUUGCAGUUCUUGUUCAAGAAAUACCUGGCAUACGAGAAGUCUCAGGGCGACAGAGAAAGAAUGGAGCUUGUGAUGCAGAAGGCAACGGAGUAUGCUAAGAUUUCACAAGCCUAAUGUACGAUCUAUGCACAAGUGUCUGCUGCUUCGCGAUCACGGAUGGUGAUUCUGUGACUAGGUCUCUGGUCGAACUCACCUGAAUUGCUGCUUGAUGAGAGGACCACAAUUUUGUUCGGUGUUAGUGUUAGCGGGGAAGAAACUUUGUAGAAUACUCGUAAACUUUAGCUUGUAUGCCUUGCGGCAUGUCUUUGCCAAUUUUUAGUGUUGUGUAAACCUGAGUCAGAAAGAACGUUUCUUGUUCUAGUGGAAAUUUGCAAAGAUGGUUCACUUUCCUUAGUUUUUUUUUUUCGAACUUAUAUCUACUAGUUAUCUACUACCAUGUGUCGAAAAACUGAGAACGGAGAUCAGUGUGAGAAAACAUGCAACUUAGUAUUUUCACAGGGGCAUAGCCCAAGUAUAUAUACUACAUGUGUGACAAAUAAGCAGAAAUUCAGUGUGAGAAAAUGUGCAACUUGUUUCUCCACAGGGGCAUAGACCAAAUAUAUAUUCUACCUGUGUGACAAAUAUGCAGAAAUUAUGUCUGUACAUUUUUCCGUUCGGAAAUAAGUGACGUGAUCCAAAAGUCAGGACGGAAGUACAUCUUUAGCACCUUUCUAAGCUUACGGUGGAUCCACAACACCGAGUCAGGAGAGGCAGAAGCUGUGUUGGGCUUAUUGACGAAAUUUGCUAACUGAGCCUCGGAAGGCUCAUAUUGAGUACAAAGCACUUGAUUCUGCACUGCACAGUAUUUGUUUACUGAGUUCAUGUUUCAUAGGGCCCUAGGAACGUGAAUUUUCAGCUCCUGCGACCCUUGGUGCACUAAAUCUGGUUUGUCAGGAAAGGCCUGAUCUUCACUUAUAAGAGAGCGUUUUUGGCCCAGUAUUGUGUAGCAAACAGUGACAUACUGGGCCAUUUUCUUGUACGGAUAUGUUCCGGGCAGAUAAAUUUCACGGGUUGGGUCAGCACCCCAGGCCCAAUAGAAGCAAGCCCUACGGCCAAUCCAGCAGCAAUAACAGAAGCAGCAUCAAUUAAUGGGUUCAUGGUGAGUUCCUCGUGUCAAAAAAGAGAAAUGGUUAAGGAUACAAUCAACCAAGAAAUUCUUACUUCUAAGCUCUAUUGGGGAGAAGUAACUAAAAAGUAGUUUCAUACAUUGGAGGUCCAAUUGACGAAGGCCACUGAUACUAUUCUAUGCGUUUUCUGGAGAGCAACAACGGAAAUAAAAUAGGUGAACCUGGAUACAUGAUAUGGGAGGGAAAGGAUAGCUUUUCUUAACGGGGGUUAGUAAGAACUCUCUUAUCCCACUUGGAAGGAUACCAUCCUUGUAACAUAACUAUCCAUGACUGUUUUUGUCUCUAGCAUGACCACUUGAUAAAAUGUGGAGGCAAGUAGGGAAAAUGGCCGAUACUACUGGAAGAAUUCCUCUUUGGCUGAUAGGUACGGUAACUGGUAUUCCUGUGAUUGGUUUAGUAGGUGUUUUCUUUUAUGUAGUUCUUUCUACCACACUUUAGAGUCUUUUCUUUCUAUUAUAUUAGCUUUGAAUCUAUAUAGAAUAGAUUAGUGCAUUGAAAUAGUAGUCUAAUUCAAUUUCUUUUUUCAUUGCAUCCACUUAAUUUCAAUUAAGUCAAAAUAAAAAAAUCGAAGACAAUUCUUGACCAAAGAAUCCAUGGAGGGAGAAAAUAAUAAUAUUAAGAAUAGACUAUAUAUAGUAAAAAUGUAUAUAGUAAAAUAUAGUAAAUGACAAAAGGCGAGACUCUACUAGUCUUCACUCUUGUGGUUUCCUCGGUUUCUGUUUUCUUAUUCGGGAUCUUGCUUUUCAUGAUUCUCAUCUCUGCAACUCACGAUUUCAGCGAGAGAACCAAAUCCAAGUUGGCGAAGAUCAUGGAAUUCAUAUUAAUCAUUGAAGAAAUGAAAAAGGGAUUAAAUAAAUAAAAUCCAAGUCUUAAAUGAAAGGAUCCGGUUGGAAUCUUGAAGUAUGGUAGAAAGAACUACAUAUAGUUUUUUCUACAACACUUUAGAGUCUUUUCUUUCUAUUAUAUUAGCUGUGAAUCUAUAUAGAAUAGAUUGUCGAAGAUAGAAGAGCCCAGAUUCCAAAUGAAGAAACGAAUAUAUUUAACAUUUCCAUACGAUUCGUGCUAAUAUUGGCAUUCUCGGGUCCAUGGAAUGGAAGAGAUAAUGAAAUUAACAAGGCCUUGAGCUUCUACUUUCGUUUAGAAUUUAGGCAUUAUUUUCAUGAAAAAGGCGUAGAAGUAGUUAGGGUUCUUCUUCUUCAAUUUAUCCCUGCGAUUUAUCCUCAAUUUCAUCACGUAGACCAAAUCGAUCCCCAAAUUCCCCAUUGGAUCUCCACGGUCUUUACAUUGGUAUCAGAGCAGUCGAUCUGCUGGUGGCGAAUCGAAUUGUGGAGGCUGGGAGGUUGGGAUCUCUCGUAAAAUCCCACCUUCUCACGGCGGCGGAGUUGUUCAUCGUUCGGUGGCGGCGGCACUGUUCGCGUGCAGUUCUGUGACAGGUGAUAGGUGCCGAAUCCUCACAGAUCUCAGUGGCAAACCCCUAUUUCCUAACAGGAUCCGUGCAUAUUGAUGGUGAUUCGGGCUACAUCGAGGGCCUUGGGUUGGCGCUGCUGUAAAGUCCCCGAGUACUUUGAGUAGUCUAUGUUAGCUUCUUUAGAAUCAUCUAGGUGUAGAACUACAUGGUAGUGGUCUUUUCUGUGAAUGGGAUUUUGUUCGGGUACGGGGAUUGAGAGAGAGAGAGAGAAGGAGGAGGAGGAGGAGGAGUACCUUCUCCUUGCGACGACGAACUUGAGGGUGCGGCCAUGUCGACGGCGGCGAGCGACGGUGUGGGAGAGUUGGUGACGGCGGGGUCGGCGGUAGCUUCCCGUUACUCCUGCGCAAACCCUAGAUCGGUAGGGGUGUUCGGUGGGGUGUGCGGCACUGCGACCAACCUUGUGUUGCGUGCCGCCGGCCCCCACCUCUUAAUAUAGCAUAGUGUAACAGGGGCCCGCCAACCAUAUUGGGUUGGGCGCCCCCGAUCAGGGCGCAUUAGAUCUAAGGGCCCGAUGGGCGGUUGGGCCCACGCGGGUGGAGAUGAGAUCAUCCUAACAGUCUACGGUGUUGAGUGCAGAAUCGAGCUAAGGGGACGAGCAAUUGGGCAAUUGCUUGGACAUCCUUGGUUUUGAUGAUGACGGGUCCUGAUACCCGCACGAAGGCCCAGGUGGCGGUAGAAAAAUCGGAAGCAAAGAUGAUGGAUAUUCGUUCUGAUAGCCUGGACCUGAAGAGUUUGAAAUUAUAGGUGAAUGCUAUCCAUUUAGAAAUGUCGUCUUUACAUCCAUCUGAGGUAGUUCUAAAUCAAAAUGCACCACUAGUGCCAUUAUGAUCCUGAAGGAAUUCUUGCAUGAGACUGGUGAAAAUGUCUCAUUGUAAUAUAUUUCUUCUCUUUGUGUAAAUCCUUUUGCUACGAGUCGUGCUUUGUAUUUUUCUAUAUUCACUCUACAGUCAUAUAUGGUUUUGUAGACCCAUUUACAGUCUACCGUUUUGGCUCCUUUAGGAAUUUCCUCUAAGUUCCAAACUUCGUUGGAACUCAUCGAUUUCAUCUCAUCUUCCAUGGCCUCCAGCCACUUCGAUGAGUGAGGGCUACUCAUGGCUUGUUCAUAUGAAGUGGGAUCAUUCUCCAUAUGAACUCUUUCUGUAUUAUAAACUUUAUAAUCUUUAGGAAUAGCUGAUCUUUUAACUCUUUGAGACCUUCUAGAGGCCUCAAUUUCUGGCACGUUCCGUGUCUCUACAUGUGGCGCAUCUUCAGGAGGUGGCUGCUGCAGUUCCCUUUCAUGUGCAACAAUGGGUUGAGUCGGCUCCUGACGGACAGGUUCCGGACUUUCACUCAUUGUUGCCAUGUGUGGAGUUGCAACAGGUGUGGCCACCACAAUCUCAGGGAUUGUUGGUGCGGCAACAACAGGUAGUGAAAAGAAUGGCUCCUGAGUCAUCGAAUUAGGUGCAUGCACCCUCUUCUCCUCAAGAACAACUUUUUGAGCUACCGUGCUCUCCCUCAUCAUUUCGUCCUCUAAGAAGACGGCAUGUCUUGUUUCUACAAACUUUGUAUAUCUGUUUGGACAGUAGAAACGAAAACCUUUUGAUCUUUCCGGAUAGCCAGUGAAAUUGCAACUUACUGUCUUGGUAUCCAAUUUGCAAUAUUUGGGUUAAACACUUUGGCCUCAGCAGAGCUCCCCCACACCCGCAGGUGUUGUAGAGAGGGCACUCUACCUGUCCAUAGCUCGUACGGUGUUUUGGGCACCGACUUGCUUGUCACUCUAUUGAGAAUGUGAAUGGCGGUUUUUAAUGCCUCCAUCCACAAUUCCAAUGGUAAGGUGGAAUAACUCAUUAUACUGCGCACCAUGUCCAUAAGAGUACGGUUACGCCUUUCACCUACUCCAUUUUGCUGAGGCUCGCCCGGCAUUGAAUAUUGGGCAACUAUUCCAGUCUCCUGUAGGAACCUUGCAAAAGGUCCAGGGACUUGGCCGUAUGGGGUGUUCCGACCGUAGUACUCCCGCCCCCACGGUCGGAUCUUACUAUCUUUAUCUUUUUAUGAUGCUAAUUUUCAAUUUCAGCCUUGAAUAUUUUAAAUUUAUCCAACGCUUCUGAUCUUCUUUUUAUUGGAUAAAUAUAACCAUAAUGGGAGUAGUCGUCUGUGAAUGUUAUGAACGAAUCAUAACCAUCCAUGCUUUUCACAGGAAAUGGUCCACAACGUUAGUGUGAAUAAUUUCUAGUGUGCUGGUGCUUCGUGUUGCACCCUUUUUGAUUUCCUUUACAUACUUUCCUUUAACGCAAUCUAUGCAUUGCUCUAUGUCUGAGAACUCUAAUGGAGGAAGAAUUUCGGUUUUAACAAGUCUUUCUAUCCGCCCCUCGAAAUAUGGCCUAAACGACAGUGCCUUGAUUGAAGUUCUUUUUCUUGUUAUCCUUCACAUAGUUCAGUGAACCACCAUAUGAGGAUUUAAUUCUGUCCUGUUCUUGCACACACAUGGCUAUUGUUUUUUCAAUAUCCCACCGCUCUGGCUGCAUGUUGUAGUUGACAACAAAUGUGUCAAACUCUUUUGGCAGCGAAGCCAUAACCAGAUGAACAAGCAUUGCAGGCUUGAUCUCUAGAUCAGCAUCCAUGGGUUUCAGCUUAGCUGCCAUGUUGCUCAUCCCGAGGAUAUGCUCUAUUAUGCCAUGUCCUCCUCCAGUGUACUUUUCUUUCACCAGUUGCUUUUGCAGCUGGGUAGCAUAUAUGUUUGAAGAGCCAGUGAACUGGCUCUUUAUCUUUUCAAGAUAUUCCCCUACGGAAGCACACUCUGCAAUUGAGCCCACAAUAGCGUGCUCAAUUGUGUUUUUUAUGAAAGCCAUGAUCUUUUCUUUUCUACCAUCAAAGCCGCGCCGCCGUUCCUUCUCCUCCCCCGCCUCCCUUUUGUUCCUUUUUAUCCUUUUUCUCUUUACUUUCCCGGCGAACUAACCGGCAUGGAGGGCGUGGUGUAGCUUUUCGCGGCGGCGGCCUUGGCCUCUUGCCGGCGCACGCGUGCACCCGAAGGUGCGCGCGUCGCCGUCAAGCGGUCAACGGCGCCAAUGUUUUCCCGGCGUGGACCCACCUUGACGACGACCGGCGGCGCCGAGGUGACGGCGACCGGUGGCAGCCGCAGGCACCACCACACGGGUAAGGUCUUCUUUUCUCUUUUAGGGUUAGGGUUUGCCUUUUUUGAUUUCUUUCUUUUUUUUCUUUCUUUUUCUAUCCCGACGGAUCUACGAUUCUAACCUUGCUGUGAUACCAAUGUUAGAACUAUGGGAACAACUAGAUGUAGAUCGGUACGGGUAGAUAGCCUUACUGUGAUACGGCAUGGCAUUCGGGUAUGGGGCUAGAGAGAGAGAGAGAGAGAAGAAUAGAGGGAUGUGUACCUUCGCCUUGGGACGACGAGGAGCUUGAUGGAGCGGCCAUGUCGACAGCGAAGGCGAGCGGCGGCAGCGGCGAGCUUCUUGUCGCUUCUGAGCAGAACCCUAGAUCAGUAGGGGUUGUCGGUGGGUGGUUUUGGCUACGCAGUUGAACCUCGUAACUCGUGCCCCGGCCCUCUCACUUCUUUAUAUUGCGCAGCGCGACAGGGGCCCGCCAACCAUAGUGGGUUGGGCGCCCCCGAUCUGGGCACGUUAGAUCUAGGGCCCGGUGGGCCGUUGGGCCCACACGGUGGAGAUCACCCUAACAGCCUGGACUUGCCCAAAGGCAUUUUGGUGAUUACUAAGAAUGGUACAUCUAUCACUUUUGUGGAUUAUACUAACCAUCAAAGUGAUUUUUCAUCUCUGCUGCUAAAUUGUCCAAGUACCUGAAAAAGGGAGCAAUCGGUAUGUUCUGCAAAUUAGAGACAUGUCUGAAAUAGAGGAGAAGCCAGUUCCUUGUAUCGUUCCUAAUAAUCAGUCCCUAUACGGAUGUAUUUCAGGCACAUGAUGGACUUCCUCCAUCCAUGGCUUGUGAUCAUCACAUCCCUCUUGUCUCUGGAGCUUUCACCUCCUAAUUUACGGCCUUAUAGAGUGCCCCAUUAUCAAGAAGGCAGCCAUGGAAGAGAUUAUCAAGGACAUGCUUACCAAAGAGGAAAUAUGGCCUAGCCUCAGCCCAUUUUCUUCCCUAGUUGUUAUGAUUAGAAAGAGAGACGACAGUUGGCGUCUCUGUGUGGAUUACAGACAGCUUAAUAAUCUUACUAUUAAAAACAAAUUCCCAAUGACAGUCAUUGAAGAUUUAUUAGAUGAGUUACAUGGGGCCACUGUAUUCACUAAAUUGGAUUUACGAUCAGGGUAUCCUCAGAUAAGGAUGUUUUCUGAUGACAUACCUAAAACGGAUUUCAAAACUCAUUUCUGAUCUGCAUGAGACAGACAUCCACCAGCCUCAGAUGGAGAAGAUCCACAUUUCUCGUGAAGGCACUGACAUAUGGCUUAAACACUUUAGGCCAUCAGAUAAGCACACUCACACUGUGACAAUUCCAGGCCCAUGGAUUGACUUUUUUACUGCUAUACUUGCAUCACCAGAUAACUUUGACUAGGCUAGGAAGGUGCUUAUGUUCAACAUGUGGAGUACUUUUGCUGCUUCCAAUGAUUUCUCUAGGCCAUUUGUCCUUCCUGACACUUGUCCAUCUAAGAUGGCCCCUGUCUGUAAGCUUGCUACCAGGGCAAUUGAAGCAAGUCAGGGAUUCUCCACGCCCUAGGCCCCUAAGGGCUCUGUUUUGCAUGGAUGAGGGGCUCCACAUGUCUUCUUCUGCUGCCAGAGUCAAGAGAGCAAGGAAACCUCCUUUGGUUAUCACUGAAGUUAGGAGAAGUCCUAGAUGGGCUGACAAAUAUGGUGGAUAUAAACACAAGACCUGCAAUAAUAAGCACUGUCUUGCUUGUGCUGCUCAAACCCCUAAAAUCAACCAUAAGAUUGUCAGAAGUCUCAGUGAGAGAUUUGGAUUAGUUGCAGGAGAGUUCUCUUCAAAUGCAGCAGAUCCAAGCAAUAAGAUCAAGAAGAAAAAUGAUGAUGUCACACCAACUAAGAAGCAGAAGAAGAAGUGAUGAUGCUGCUGGCAAGAAGUGUUUGCAAACUUGUCAUAUUUGUAGUUAUUUUGUGUGCUCCUAUAAAUGUAAUAAGCAGUCUUAUUUGUUCUUUGAACACUCAUGCACUCCUCCUAAGGAUUACUCCUCUGAAACUUUUAUAUGGUCAUGUGAUGUAACAUUUACUAUUUUGCAUCAUUUGUCAUUCUCUUCUCCAUGGUUUUCCAAUGAGUUGCAAAAGAUUGAAAUUUUUUGUCCUGAAACAUCAAGGGGCUGAAUGGGAAGGAUAAAUGGACACAAUUGAGAAAGAAAAUUGAGGAAAGUGGUUGCUCCAUCAUGUGCAUGCAGGAAACUAAAAGAAUGGAUAUCGACUCGGCAUUCAUCCAGAAUUUUUGCUCUAGAAGAUUUAACAAGUUCCUAUUCCUGCCAUCUAUUGGUCGUUCGGGUGGCCUCUUGAUCAUUUGGAUUGGCUCUGCAUACGAUGGCAUCCUUACAUUCAGCAACGAGUUCUCUCUCACUGCUGAAUUCACCUGUCUCACCUCUCAUAAACAAUGGCUCCUUACCAACAUAUAUGGUCUCUGUCAGGAGGAGACAAGAGCUGAUUUUCUUGAUUGGCUUCAUGAUAUUGACAUGCCUGAAGACAGGAACUGGUUGGUCACAGGGGAUUUCAACACACUGAGAUCACCUGAUGACAGGAAUAGGCCAGGUGGCAACAUUAAUGAUAUGCUCAAAUUCAAUGAAAUCAUUAGUCAACUUAGAUGGAUUGAACUGUCACUAAAAGGUCGUAAGUACACUUGGAGCAAUAUGCAAGAUUCACCUCUUCUGGAAAAACUUGACUGGUGCUUCACUUCUCUCAGCCGGACUAUCAACUUUCCUAACACCGAGACAACUCCACUGGCCAAGCCCAUCUCAGACCACAUCCCCUAUGUUAUUAACAUUGCCACUGAUAUUCCCAAGGCCCAAGAUUUUAGAUUUGAAAAUCACUGGAUGAAUCGACAAGGCUUCCUUGACAUGGUCAAAGAUACUUGGCAGAGCAACAUUCCUAUUUUUCAAGUUGAUAGAAGAAUUGCAGCCAAGCUUAAAAAACUCAGGGGUCACAUGAAAAAGUGGCUGAAAAUUAAAGGUGACAUGGAUUCUGCUAUUGAGGAUCUCAAUGCACUCAUCCUUUUGCUAGAUGGUAUUGAAGACACAACCAGAAAAUAAUCUCAGAAAGGAGGUGAAAAUUAAACUUUAAUCAAAAUGCAUAUUGGAGACAAAGAGGCAAGAUUAAAUGGGUAAAGUUGGGUGAUGAAAACUCCAAGUUCUUCCAUUCACUGGCAACUAUCCAACACAGGAAAAAUAAAAUUGCAUGUCUAAAGAGAGAGGAUGAUUCACUUGUUUAUGAUCAUGACACCAAAGCUAAUAUGUUUUGGCUUGCAUUCAAGGAUAGGUUGGGAACAUCUCAAGAAUAGAAUUUAUGCCUCCCUGACCAGGAAUUACUCCACAACAACACUAAUCUGUCAGACUUAGAAGUACCCUUCACUAGUGAGGAAAUUGAUGAAGUUGUCAAAAACCUCCCCACAAACAAGUCUCCUGGUCCUGAUGGUUUCAACACUGACUUCAUUAAGAAAUGCUGGCCCAUCAUCAAGGAGGAUUUUUAUGAACUGUGCCACCAAUUCCAUGAUGGGGAGCUCAAUCUUACCUGCAUAAAUACCUGCUACAUUGCACUCAUUCCAAAAAUUGAUUCUGCAGACAAAGUCAAUGAUUUCAUACCAUUUCACUCCUAAACUGCACUUUGAAAAUCCUGACCAAACUGCUGGCCAACAGACUUCAGGCAGUCAUUAUGCAGCUGAUCCAUCAUAAUCAGUAUGGGUUCAUCAAGACUAGAACCAUACAAGAUUGCCUUGUUUGGGCUUUUGAAUAUAUUCAUGCCUGCCACAAGUCCAAACAAGAAAUUGUCCUCCUUAAAUUGGACUUUGAAAAGGCAUUUGAUAAAGUUGAAUAUAAGGCCAUCAUUCAAAUUAUGCAAGCCAUGGGUUUUGGAGACAAAUGGUGUCAAUGGAUUAGCGAAAUUGUUCACUCUGCUACAUCACAGAUUCUUCUUAAUGGAGUUCCUGGUAAACUGAUCCAUUGCAAGAGAGGGGUUAGGCAGGGUGACCCCCUCUCACCACUUCUUUUUGUCAUUGUGGCUGACUUCCUCCAAACCACUCUUAAUGAUGCCCUGUACAGAGGUAUGAUUGAAAGGACAAUUGACAGUGCUGCUUGCCCUGAUUUUUCCAUAAUCCAAUAUGCUGAUGACACCCUGAUUAUCAUGAAAGCUGAAGAUGCACAACUUCAAACUCUUUAGAAUCUUCUACAACAAUUUCAUGACACCACUGGCUUGAGGGUCAAUUACCAGAAAUCCAACUUGAUCCCAUUGAACAUGUCCAAUGAGAGAGGACUUCAUUUUGCAGAUCUCCUCGGCUGUCAGCUUGGCACACUUCCAUUUACAUAUCUGGGGCUUCCAUUGGGUAAUAUCAGGCCAAAAAUUAUUGACUUCAUGCCCAUGAUCAAGAGAAUUGAAAACAGACUGAUGUGGUUCUCUAGUAUGCUCUCAUAUGGUGGAAAGCUUCAACUGGUCAACUCUGUCCUUUCUGCACUCCCCACAUUUGAGAUGAGUACUUUUGUCCUCCCCAAAGGAGUUAUCACCCAGAUUGAUAAGUACAGAAGACAUUGUCUCUGGCGUGGGCAAGAUCUCACUAAGAAGACCCCCCCCCCCGCUCUGGCUGCCUAGGAAAUGAUCUGCAGACCCAAAACUGAAGGUGGACUUGGAAUCAUUAACCUUGAGCUUCGGAACCAAGCCCUCAUUCUGAAGAACCUUCACAAAUUCUACAAUAAAGUCAACUUACCAUGGGUUCAUCUGGUAUGGGAACAACACUAUGUCCAAACUCAGCCCCCUCAUUGUAAUCCUGAUGCCUCUUUCUGGUGGAGAGACACAAUUAAACUUUUGCAAACAUUUAAAGACUUGAUCAUUUGCCACUCAUAGCAAGGCAAUACCAUCCUCUUCUGGCAAGACACAUGGCUUGAACACCCGUUAGCUAAAACUUGGCCACAGCUUUACUCCUUUGCCAUUGAGCAGAACAUUUCCCUCCACAAUAUGGUCCAAUGCCCUGACCCAACCAUGCAAUUUCACCUGCCAUUAUCAGUUGUUGCACAUUCCCAGUUCCAGGAUCUGUUACACCUAUUGGAAGACAUUGUCAGAACAGAAGAACAUGAUAUUUGGACAUUCCCAUGGUCUUCUCCUGGAUACUCUGCAUCUAGAAUCUAUAAGAAACUAGUCAUGCACAUUGACAUCCCUACCACUAUCACAUGGAUCUGGUCAUCCUGUUGUCAGCUUAAGCACAAAGUGUUCAUGUGGCUCCUCAUGGUUGACAGACUCAAUACCUGAGCAAUGCUGCACAAGAAAAACUUCCACCUCCAGUCUUACUCAUGUGUUCUUUGCAACAGAAACACUAUGGAGACCAGGGAUCAUCUCUUCUUCCACUGCCCAUUUGCCAUGACUUGCUGAAGAUACAUUUGCCCCAAUUACACCCCUGGACAAUCUGUCCAUGAGCAUAUUGCAGCCAGGAAACAAGAGCUUCACGUGCCUUUUCACAUGAAAAUCAUAACUGCGGCAGCAUGGAGUAUCUGGAGGAUUCGCAACGAUUGUAUCUUCAACGGGAUUACCCCAUCACUUUACAGAUGCAGAAGUCUAUUUAAGGAAGAGCUCAAUUUGGUUUUCCAUAGAGACAAAAGAAAGAACUACCAUGCUUUUCAAUCAUGGAUUGAUAACUUUAGAUAGUACAUUUUCAUGUAAUUUUAUCUACCUGUACAUAUUCUCAUUAAUAAAAUUACAGCAGUAGGUCUUAUGACCUAAAGCUUUCCGUGUAAAAAAAAAACUCAUUUGGGUCAUUAUGAAUACACUGUCAUGCCCUUUGGCUUGACCAACGUCCCAACUACAUUUCAGAAUCUAAUGAACACCAUAUUUGCUCAACAUAUUGGUCAUUUUAUCCUUGUGUUUUUUGAUGAUAUAUUUAUCUACAGCAAAAACAUGAAGAAGCAUCAGAAUCACUUGAGAACUACUUUGGAGAUACUCUGGAAUCACUCCUUAUCAGUUAAGAUGAGCAAAUGCACCUUUGCUACACCUCUGGUUUCUUAUUUGGGACAUAUCACUUCUGCAGGAGUCUCUACUGAUCCUAGCAAAAUGAAGGAUGUUCUUAACUGGAAAGCUCCUCAAAAUGUCUCUAAGUUGAGAGGAUUUUUGGGGCUGACCGGCUAUUAUAGACGAUUUGUUCACAACUACGGUAAAAUCUGUAAGCCUUUGUUUGAUAUCCUCAAGAAAGACAAUUUCAAAUGGGGUGAAGCACAAGAACAAGCUUUUCAGCAUCUGAAAACUGCUAUGACCACUUGUCCUAUUUUGGCACUGCCUAUUUUUCCCAACCAUUUACAAUUGAAGCUGAUGCUUCUGGUUAUGAUAUUAGGGCAGUACUUAUGCAAAACAGAAGGCCAUUAUCUUUCUAGAGCAAAACUAUUGGCCCUAAAGCCAUGGCUCAGUCCACUUAUGUUAAAGAAGCUAUGGCUAUCCUCGAGGCAUUAAAAAAGUGGAGACACUACAUUUUGGGCAACAAAUUGAUUACCAAAACAGACCAAGAAAGCCUCAAAUAUAUUACCCCCCAGAAAUUGACUGAAGGUAUUCAACACAAACUUCUCCUUAACUUGCUAGAGUAUGACUAUGUGAUUGAGUACAAUAAAGACGGAGAAAAUGUCGUCGCUGAUGCACUAUCAAGAAAAAAUAACCCUCCUCACUUAUCUUGUUCUGCUAUAACUGCUGUUCAACCUGAUUGGUUGCAAAAUAUCAAGCACAAUUAUAUUGGUGAUCCUGACAGCUCGGUCAUUCUGAAUAAACUCGCUCAAGAUGUUUCUUCUGAUGCUCAGUUCAAGUUAAAUACAAGAACAUGUUAUACGUUGGACGCAGCACUUCACUCAGACACAACUUGAUUCAAUCUUUUCAUGCCUCAGCAUUGGGUGGGCAAUGGUGAGCAACUUAAAACGCCAUUUAACAAGAACUAAUAACCACCUAGUUUUAAUCUCAAGGUCCUGCAAGGACGUCUUGGUUCGUCAUUCUAGAAAAUAGAAAUAGAAAAAAAUGUAGGAGUUUUGAAUUUUCGACUAAAGCUGAUUGAUUGCACCAUAACAAAAACAAAUAAAUAUUUUUAAGAGGUGGGCUAGUGAAAACUUUCCUAUUACGAAAUCAGCACAAAUAAAUCUAAAGAAAAAACUAAUAUGUGAUACAAACCUACAAAUCAAACACGGUACCUGUAAAAAAACCUACAAAUCAAAUAACUCAAAUAGAAACAAAUCUUACGAAAUCCAAUUCUCCUAAAUUCACAUGAAAAUCCUUUUAGUCAAAGAGCUCCUAAGUUUGUUCAGUCCAUGGUCCCACAUAAUUAACUCUGUUUUCUUCUUGCAGUUUCGUCCUUACUUGACUACCACUCCCCAGAAACAAAAUUAAAAACUUAUCCUUUUAACCAUAUAUCAAACAUUUGAUGAAGAAUCUUCAACGGUUUAAAAAAGCGACACACCUCAAGAACAUUAGGACAACCUUAGUCAACCACCACACAAAAAAAGAAG